AAAUACAAACUGGAACCUUCUAUGUAGUAAAGGGAGGCACGCGAGACUUAUUAGGGAAAGAAACUGCGAUAGCUUUAAAAGUACUAAAGCUCGGGUUAGAAGUCAAUUCGACUUCAGGGACAAAGACAAAUUAAUGAAAGAAAAGGGAAAGGAACACGAGGACAGAAAAAGGAAAGCUGAAGAAAUAGAUAUAGGUAUUGGUGAGAAAGUAUACGUAAAGAAUAUGGUGAAGGAAAAUAAACUUACUACGAAUUUCAACCCGACUCCCCAUACUGUUGUAAAUUGUAAAGGAUCUGAUUACAGCGUAAGGAAUGACGAAACGGGACAAGAAUUAAGAAGGAAUAUCAUCCAUCUCAAACGUGUGGAAGGACAAUGGAAAGUAUGUGAGGACAAAUCUGAUCAGGAGAUAAUAAGCGGAUGUGAUUCAAAUAGUGACUAAAUACCUACCUUAAUAAUUUAUCGUAAUCAUUUUUUAUUCAAAUUGCUAAAGACUAAUCGGUUAAAAGAAAAAGAGAGAAAUUCGAAUUAUUCAUUAUGUUAGUAUAUAAGAAUGUUAUGUCGUUUUGUUUAUAUAUACAUGUACCUAUUGGACUCGCGUUAAAUAAUUAUUUCACAGGUACCUAUUAAUAAUUUGAUUAACAUAGAUUUGAUUUUGUUAAAAAAGGGAGAGAUGUGACGUAUUACAAAUAAAAUAUAGACGUGGGCGCACGGCCGGGGGUGGAGAGUAGUUGCCAUGCGGCAGUGAGACUGAGAGGACGUGCGGCCACGGCUAGUUGGGAACCAAAA